rnacentral:rRNA from 1 species
AUUGAACGUUAGCGGGAUGCCUUACACAUGCAAGUCGAACGGCAGCGCGGACUUCGGUCUGGCGGCGAGUGGCGAACGGGUGAGUAAUGUAUCGGAACGUGCCUAGUAGCGGGGGAUAACUACUCGAAAGAGUAGCUAAUACCGCAUACGCCCUACGGGGGAAAGGGGGGGAUCGCAAGACCUCUCACUAUUAGAGCGGCCGAUAUCGGAUUAGCUAGUUGGUGAGGUAAAGGCUCACCAAGGCGACGAUCCGUAGCUGGUUUGAGAGGACGACCAGCCACACUGGGACUGAGACACGGCCCAGACUCCUACGGGAGGCAGCAGUGGGGAAUUUUGGACAAUGGGGGAAACCCUGAUCCAGCCAUUCCGCGUGUGCGAUGAAGGCCUUCGGGUUGUAAAGCACUUUUGGCAGGAAAGAAAUCGCAUGGGUUAAUAACCUGUGUGGAUGACGGUACCUGCAGAAUAAGCACCGGCUAACUACGUGCCAGCAGCCGCGGUAAUACGUAGGGUGCGAGCGUUAAUCGGAAUUACUGGGCGUAAAGCGUGCGCAGGCGGUUAUAUAAGACAGUUGUGAAAUCCCCGGGCUCAACCUGGGAAUUGCAUCUGUGACUGUAUGGCUAGAGUACGGUAGAGGGGGAUGGAAUUCCGCGUGUAGCAGUGAAAUGCGUAGAU